UACAGAGGUGGCGAGCGUUACUCGGAUUUAUUGGGUGUAAAGGGCAGGUAGGCGGCUACGUAAGUUGGAGGUGAAAUCCUAUGGCUCAACCAUAGAACUGCCUCCAAAACUGCAUAGCUUGAGGCUAGAAGAGGAGAACGGAAUUCCCGGUGUAAGGGUGAAAUCUGUAGAUAUCGGGAAGAACACCAGUGGCGAAAGCGGUUCUCUGGUCUAGCUCUGACGCUGAGCUGCGAAAGCUAGGGGAG
rnacentral:rRNA from 1 species